rnacentral:rRNA from 1 species
AUUGAACGCUGGCGGCAUGCUUUACACAUGCAAGUCGAACGGUAACAGGCCGCAAGGUGCUGACGAGUGGCGAACGGGUGAGUAAUGCAUCGGAACGUGCCCAGUCGUGGGGGAUAACGCAGCGAAAGCUGCGCUAAUACCGCAUACGAUCUCUGGAUGAAAGCGGGGGACCGAAAGGCCUCGCGCGAUUGGAGCGGCCGAUGUCAGAUUAGGUAGUUGGUGGGGUAAAGGUCCACCAAGCCAACGAUCUGUAGCUGGUCUGAGAGGACGACCAGCCACACUGGGACUGAGACACGGCCCAGACUCCUACGGGAGGCAGCAGUGGGGAAUUUUGGACAAUGGGCGCAAGCCUGAUCCAGCAAUGCCGCGUGCAGGAUGAAGGCCUUCGGGUUGUAAACUGCUUUUGUACGGAACGAAAAGCCCUGGAUUAAUACCCUGGGGUCAUGACGGUACCGUAAGAAUAAGCACCGGCUAACUACGUGCCAGCCGCCGCCGUAACAC